UGUACAUGUUUGUUACAAAGGUAUAUGGCAUGAAGCUGAGGUUUGGAGUACAACUGAACCUGUUACUCAGGUGGUGGGCAUGGUACCCAACAGCACUGUGUACAACAGCAAAGAUCUGGAACCAACCCAAAUGCCCAUCAAUGAUAGACUGGACAAGAAAAAUGUGGCACAUAUACACCAUGGAAUACUAUACAGCCAUAAAAAACGAAGAGUUUGUGUCCUUUGUAGGGACAUGGAUGAAUCUGGAAACCAUCAUUCUCAGCAAACUGACACAAGAAGAGAAAAUCAAACACCGCAUGUUCUCACUCAUAGGUGGGUGUUGAACAAUGAGAACACAUGGACACAGGGAGGGGAGCAUCACACACUGGGGUCUGUUGGGGGGGGUAGGGGAGGGACAGCAGGGGGUGGGGAGGUUGAGUAGGAAUAACAUGGGGAGAAAUGCCAGAUAUAGGUGACGAGGGGUUGGAGGCAGCAAACCACAUUGCCAUGUAUGUACCUAUGCAACAAUCCUGCAUGAUCUGCACAUGUACCCCAGAACCUAAAGUGCAACUUAAAAAAAAAAUGAAAAAAAAGAAACUUGGGCUACAGAGAUGAACAGAAAAAAAAAUCAUUAAAAAUCGCUGUCUUAAAAAUAGCUAGGGUUCACCCCUCUGUGAACCAACAGUUUUCUGUUGGCUGUUUGUUGUUCACUGGAUAAAAAAGCAUUGUGAUCAGUUAAUUAUUCUUUAUUGGGAUCCUGGGUCCAUUCCUUUUUCUUUUACUAUAUUAAGCCACUGAUGCUCAUGAGUAAAGAAUAAUGCCUCUGAAGUACUUAAGUCUUAUAUUUCGGGGAAGGAGCUCAGAAUUAUUGAGCGUUUUCAACUACUGAUGCCUACAAACAUAAUUUAGGUCAUUGACCUAUGAUACUUUGACUAUUUUAUACAUGUUAGUAUUUGUAACUUUUGUAGAUUAUCUCUCAUCUCAUAUUUCUCUAUCGUCUUUCAAAGAAAAUUUGAAAUUCUCAAGAAUUAAGUAGACAGAUUAGGAGAUAUAUGAGCAUAAAAGAAAUCAGAAAAAUUUUAAGUAAUCAUGUAGAAUAAUAACUAAAAGUCACCAUGAUCCUUGUGUGCAAUAGGCUGCCUUUAGGGUAAUAUAGUUUUUGUAAAAUUUUACAAAAAUUGAACUCCUCACAUUGAAACACUGUACUUUGAAAGAAACUUCAAAUUCAGCAUAUUUUGAAAAAAUCUGGAUGAUGACUCAUUUUCUUUCUUUCAAACCUUUUAAUUUCCACAACAUGUAGCUUAAGGGAAAUUUUAUCUUCAUUAUAGCUGUUUCAGAAUAGCUUUAGACAGGUAGGAAACAAAUUUGAAAUGCAAUGUAAAAAAUGGCACUUAGCAAGC
rnacentral:lncRNA from 1 species